GUAGAGAUCGGCGGAGAUGGCGAGCUCCGAGACUCCCUCUAUCUUCUGUUUUCAGAGCGACUCUAUGCUACAGAAAGGAUCGGUCGGCGACGUGUGGCUCUGUCUACUUUUGAGAUUCCCUCGGGGGCAGUAACUCGGUGUCUCCUAUCCGCAGCCAGCUUGGGAGGAGGAGACAAAUCCGGUUAUCCGCGUUGGGGCACUCGCUGGUAACUGCAGCUCUCUGCAAGCUCGGUCCGAGGCUGGGGAAAACUAAAAGGGAAUUAGAAGCUGACUGACAACCCUCUGGAAGGAGGAAGGUGGGAGGACCAGACGACAAACUUGGCGCUUUUUACUUUGGGAUGGGACAGUCUGGGGUUUCCAGUCUUAGAUAUGACUGAGUCUAAAAUAAAUUUUGUGAUUGUAGGAUGCA